rnacentral:lncRNA from 1 species
GAAGGCCAAGUGGCGCGCCGAAGGAAACGCCUCAGGCAGUUACAACCCGCAUAAGUUGAGCGUUUACCACACGCCAGGCGCUGCUCCACGAUCCGUACAAUCUCAUUUAACCCCUGCAACAAUUCCCCACUACGAUCCUCUUUCUAUAGGUAGGGAAACUGAGGCUCACAGCAGCUGCGUAGUUUACCUUAAGGUGGAACCAAAAUUCAAUUGCAGUGGUGUAUUCUGGGGUCCGAGGUCUUAAACCCUACUCUGCUCCCUUAUCAGGAUUCAGGCUCAGGGAAUGAAUAAACCCGGGACAGCUAGGAGAAGGGAGGAGGUGCGCUCCUGUCGCCGGCUAGUAGGCCUGAAGAUAAAUCACUCUAUUCAGCAAGAUUUGGGUGGCAGAUGCUAUUUACCUUUGUUCUGUCUCUUUGAAGCAGCGCAGGGAUUUUCCAGAGAAAUCUUGACAGAUGAAUGUUUAUCCUCCAGGUUUUUUGGUGAUCAGAGGUCAAACUAUUCUCAGCCUGUUUUUAAUAUAAACAAUUCUCUGGGAUAAUUUUGACUGUGAAACGGCCACCUCUAACAGAAAGUCCAUUUUAAACAUUGUUUUGUUGUUUUUGUUUUGUUUUGACUGUGCUG